rnacentral:misc_RNA from 1 species
UUUCCUGCGCUUGCUCCCUUUCCCUUCUCUCAUCUUUACCUACUUUGCUGUCUACUCUAGUAACUCUACUAAUCUAUGAGAGGAAUGAGGGAAAGGCUGAGAGUGUUGAUGCAAGUUUUUGGAUCUGAAGGUCUUGGAAAGGAUCAGUUUUCAUUUCUGAGAAAUUCUUUCCGAAACCUCCAAUUCCAAUCAUUUGCAUCUCCUUCUCCCUUUCCCAUGGAUAUCCUUCAUUUCUGACUUCAUUUUGGCUAAGAAAAGUUGGAGAGAAUCUCGUGGAGAAUAGAAAAAAGCAG